rnacentral:lncRNA from 1 species
GCGGGGUCCGCUUGUCGGCACACCCGUCUCCAUUUGGUGGUUUGAACCAAAUCUUUGAGCUGACAUUGUCAUUAAAUGCGACCGAGAAUACUCCAACCGGCGCGUCACUGCCUGCUGUCGAACUUCAAACUCAUCUGACUGAAGAUUUAUUUUUCCUUUUUUCAUGGAGUCUGUCCUUCAGGUCUGAUUGAUGAUCAGAGUGUUUCUCUGGGAAAGAGUCCCGAUUAUAUCCCUCGCUGUUCUACCCACGAACACGUAGAGAGUAGGGAGCAGAAAUCCCGGGCGUGGAAGCAUUCACAAUCGAGAGAAGACAAGACUGAGUUGUCAUGGUUACCAUUCCAAUGAUAACUGAAGAAUAUGAGUUCAACAGAAUUGUUUAAAAGUGGAAAUUAUUCACCAUAUUAUCUUGUUUAAGAGUUAUGCAUAUUUAAAACACUAAAUGGAAUUUUUUGAAGUAGGACAUUCUCUCACUCUUAUUUAAAUUCAUAGCACUUGUGACAAAAACAUUUAACAGAUACACUGAGUGUAUUACUCAUCCCUGCUCUUGCCAUUAAUAGCUAGCCACAGCUGAC